AUGUUGGCAAGGCAGGCUUGGAGAAUGCUACAAAACCCAUCUUCCCUAUGCGCUCAAGUGAUGGCUGCUAAAUACUAUCCAAAUCAGAAUCUGUUACAAGCGAGGCCAAGAGAUGGCAUUUCAUAUAGUUGGAGAAGCAUUUUGAAAGGAGUGCAGGUGUUGCAAAGUGGAAUCAUAUGGAGAGUAGGAGAUGGACGCAAUAUCAAUAUAUGGGCAGAUCCUUGGCUACCAAGGGGUGUUUUUAGGAGAGUAACAUCUCAGCAAGGCAGCCAUGUUAUCACAAAGGUUUCAGAUUUGAUUGACCCUACCUCUGGCACAUGGGAUUUACAACUGAUUGAUCAAACUUUCAACAAAGAAGAUGUAGAGGUAAUUAUCCAAAUUCCGAUCCGAGAGGGUGCUAAGGACACUCCUGCCUGGCAUUUUGACAAAAAGGGUAUAUUUUCAGUAAAAUCUGCAUAUCAAGUAGUGUUGGAAAACCAAGCCAGGAACUCUGCACAUGGUGGAGCUUCGUCAUCAAGUAAGAAUGAUCAGCAUAGGAUAACAUUUUGGAAGAAACUAUGGACGUUGCCCUUGCCCAACAAGAUCCUGCACUUCCUAUGGCGACUGGCCCAUUAUAGCUUACCUCUAAGAAUGAAACUACAGAAUAGAGGAAUGGAAGUGGAUACAAGAUGUCCAGUAUGCCAUCGAAUGGAUGAAGAUGGAGGUCAUUGUUUCCUAAAGUGCAAAUUUGUCAAGGCCGUUUGGAGAACUACAUUGUUGGAAGAAAGUCGGAUGCAACUUCUCAAUUGCCCAAAUGCCAUCUCGAUGGUGGAGGAUAUCUUGCACAUGGAAGAGGAAAAAUGUCUGAAAGUAUGCAUCCUUUUGUGGUUAUGGUGGUCUGAAAGAAACAGAGCUAAUCAAGGAGAAAGGAUUAGGACUGAAGAGGAAAUUAUAUAUUCAGUUCAGCUGCACUUGUUGGAAUACAAAAAAUACAUCAAGUGA
rnacentral:rRNA from 1 species